CACGUAGGGGGGCGAGCGUUUGUCCGGAUUUAUUGGGCGUAAAGAGCUCGUAGGCGGCUCAGUAAGUCAGGUGUGAAAACUCCAGGCUCAACCUGGAGACGCCACCUGAUACUGCUGUGGCUAGAGUCCGGUAGGGGAGCAUGGAAUUCCUGGUGUAGCGGUGAAAUGCGCAGAUAUCAGGAGGAACACCGGUGGCGAAGGCGGUUCUCUGGGCAUUACCU
rnacentral:rRNA from 1 species